AACCAACAGGGAUUGCCCUAGUAACGGCGAGUGAAGCGGCAACAGCUCAAAUUUGAAAUCUGGCUUCGGCCCGAGUUGUAAUUUGUAGAGGAUGCUUUGGGCGCGGCUCUAACUGAGUUCCCUGGAACGGGACGCCACAGAGGGUGAGAGCCCCGUAUAGUUAGAUGCCUAGCCUAUGUAAAGCUCCUUCGACGAGUCGAGUAGUUUGGGAAUGCUGCUCAAAAUGGGAGGUAAAUUUCUUCUAAAGCUAAAUAUUGGCCAGAGACCGAUAGCGCACAAGUAGAGUGAUCGAAAGAUGAAAAGCACUUUGAAAAGAGGGUUAAAUAGCACGUGAAAUUGUUGAAAGGGAAGCGCUUGUGACCAGACUUGCGCCGGGCAGAUCAUCCGGUGUUCUCACCGGUGCACUCUGCCCGGCUCAGGCCAGCAUCGGUUCUCGUGGGGGGAUAAAGGUCCCGGGAACGUAGCUCCUCCGGGAGUGUUAUAGCCCGGGGCGUAAUGCCCUCGUGGGGACCGAGGUUCGCGCAUCUGCAAGGAUGCUGGCGUAAUGGUCAUCAGCGACCCGUCUUGAAACACGGACCAAGGAGUCAAGGUUUUGCGCGAGUGUUUGGGUGUAAAACCCGCACGCGUAAUGAAAGUGAACGUAGGUGAGAGCUUCGGCGCAUCAUCGACCGAUCCUGAUGUAUUCGGAUGGAUUUGAGUAAGAGCGUUAAGCCUUGGACCCGAAAGAUGGUGAACUAUGCUUGGAUAGGGUGAAGCCAGAGGAAACUCUGGUGGAGGCUCGCAGCGGUUCUGACGUGCAAAUCGAUCGUCAAAUCUGAGCAUGGGGGCGAAAGACUAAUCGAACC
rnacentral:rRNA from 1 species